rnacentral:rRNA from 1 species
GGAACGGAUGCUAAUACCCCAUAGGUGGAUUGGUCGCAUGACGAAUUCAUUAAAGGUGGCUUUGCUACCACUCAUGGAUAGCCUCGCGGCGUAUUAGCUAGUUGGUAAGGUAAUGGCUUACCAAGGCAGUGAUACGUAGCCGACUUGAGAGGGUGAUCGGCCACACUGGGACUGAGACACGGCCCAG